AUUCAAUCGAAAAAAAGAAAAUCUAUAUUUUUCUUCUCUACCGCUCAAGCUUCCAGGCUUAUCUUCACGGUGCCCACAUCCCCAUCGAGCGCAGGACGCUGUUGGCUUCGGCCUGCUGCACCAUUUCCUCCCCACACCAGCCAUCUUCCUCACCGCAGCUCCUAGCCCUGAGGACGAUGCCCCCUUCCUUCUUUGCAGGUGGCCGAUGCUUCCUCUGCUCCUCCAUCCCCAUCUCGCCCUUCAGCCAUGGGCGCCGCCAACCAUGGUGCUCGCCUCUUCCAGUCGUUCCUAUCUCCAGCGCUGGCUGCCAUCUCCUCCACGAGGUGUCUUCUCCGUCGCCGCUCCCUGCGUGAUUACCUUGGCCAGCGCCCUCGACUACUCAGCCAUGGAGGUCGCUGCCCCUUCUUUUCCUGAUCUCCCUCCAUCGGUUCAAAGCUCGGCGUCCCUGCUCCUGUCCCUCCCAUGGACGCCGCCCCUCCCUCAGCUCACUCCCUCUAGCCGCCAUGGAGCUCGCCCCUGUCCAAAUUCGGUUGCCUCUGUUUCCCCCUCUCUCUGUUGGUGGCUGGCAUCCCAUCUCCCCUGCGUUGGACGGCUGCCGCUUCGUUCUCGUCGCUGGCGUUCGUCCCUGCUCCAGCUAGUUCUCAUGGCCAUGCCUCUGUUCCCUAGGUCCGAGCUCGCCCAACUCCCUAGCCAUCUCUGCUCGCCCCUCUCUGUCUCUGUGCGAGCAGCAGCACGACGGGGCAGACCUAUGUCCUCGACGCGCACCAGAUGUUUGAUGGGAGGUUUGAACUGGAGUUCAUUAUUUUCCAUACGUGACCCGCAAGUCUUUGCACAGCGAUGAGAGAAACCCUCGGGACCGAUGAUGAAGAAGUGAGGCCCGUUCGACGUUUGCUAAAUGUUCGGUAGAAGGUUCGAACCAAAAAUCAUCGUCGAUCUCGUGAUUUCGAGUUUGGUUUAGUUAUGCAAAAAUCAUCGUCGAUCUCGUGAUUUCGAGUUUGGUUUAGUUAUGGUUCGUUACACGUGAUGCGGAGGACAAG
rnacentral:misc_RNA from 1 species